CCUACGGGUGGCAGCAGUGAGGAAUAUUGGUCAAUGGCCGGAAGGCUGAACCAGCCAUGCCGCGUGAAGGUCAGUGCCCUAUGGGCGUUAAACUUCUUUUGUGCGGGAGCAAUAAUGGUCACGUGUGGCCAGACGAGAGUACCGUACGAAUAAGCAUCGGCUAACUCCGUGCCAGAAGCCGCGGUAAUACGGGGGAUGCAAGCGUUAUCCGGAUUUAUUGGGUUUAAAGGGUGCGUAGGCGGAAUAUCAAGUCAGCGGUAAAAAUUCGGGGCUAAACCCCGUCGUGCCGUUGAAACGGAUGUACGUGAGUGGGCGAGAGGUAUGCGGAAUGCGUGGUGUAGCGGUGAAAUGCAUAGAUAUAACGAAGAACUCCGAUUGCGAAGGCAGCAUACCGGCGCCCAACUGACGCUGAAGCACGAAAGCGUGGGUAUCGAACAGGAUUAGAUACCCGAGUAGUC
rnacentral:rRNA from 1 species